rfam:Caldicellulosiruptor owensensis OL, complete genome.
CUGUGCUAUGAUGGGGAGGUAGCGGUGCCCUGUAACCCGCAAUCCGCUAUAGCGGGGUCGAAUAGCCAGACUGAGGUAUAACCCUUUUGGCAUUGAGGGCAGACCGGGGUGAGGAUGGUUGUGUCCUGCGCAACGCGAAGGCUGUGAACCCCGCCAGGUCCGGAAGGAAGCAACGGUAAGCAGUUUUUCGCGUGUGCCGCAGGGGUGCAUGACAGGAGCCUGUCGGGUCUGCUAUUUCACCAGGGGGGUUAUAUCGAAGCUGGUCGCACAG